GACGAACGUUGGCGGCGUGCUUAAUACAUGCAAGUCAACUGAAGCAGUGGUAGCAAUAUCGCUGUGGAGGUGGCGCACGGGUGAGUAACACGUAGGUAAUCUGCCUUCAGGUCUGGCAUAACUCCGGGAAACCGGGGCUAAUAGCAGAUGAUGCAGCGGCUCGACAUCGAGACAGUUGUUAAAGCUAUGGCGCCUGAAGAUGAGCCUGCGUCUGAUUAGCUAGUUGGCGGGGUAACGGCCCACCAAGGCAACGAUCAGUAGCUGGUCUGAGAGGAUGAUCAGCCACACUGGAACUGAGACACGGUCCAGACUCCUACGGGAGGCAGCAGUAAGGAAGAUUGCUCAAGGGGAGAAAUCCUGAAGCAGCAACGCCGCGUGAGGGACGAAGGGCUUUUGCUUGUAAACCUCUGUAGUGAGAGAAAAAAAUCCCAAUCUGUGGGACAUGAUGGUAUCUCAAAAGUAAGCCCCGGCUAACUACGUG
rnacentral:rRNA from 1 species